UUUUUUUCCCAUGUAAUUUGCAGAAGCACUACAGAUAGGAGCAUCACAGUUUGAGCAACAAGCAGGAAAACUGAAGAGCAAAUUUUGGUGGAAGAAUAUGAAGAUGAUCAUUAUUAUGGUUGUUCUUGGAGUAUUUAUUGUUGGAGUUAUUGGAGCCUAUCUUUACAUGUGAUGCCUGCAAAUAUUUUAUUUUCUUGCUGUCUCUCGUGGUUUCACCUUUACAAAAUUUGUAAAAUUAUCUACAAGGGAACUUUGAACUAGACAAGUAGCUUACUUUUAUUCAAAGUACUGUAGUUAGAUUCAAGAUAUUGUUAGUCCAACCUUAAACCCUCGCAAUGCUUGCACACAUGCUCAAGAGUUUCCAGAUUUCCAAUAUCUGCAUGAUGUUGAUGUUCAACCUAAGAAACAGUUUUUUCCGAACAUUAGAGAUUCUCAGAUCUUCAGAAAAAAAACUGUUACUGAAACAUGCAUUAUUCCAUUUUUUUGGCAGACAAGGUGUUACAUGUGUAGUGAAACAUCCAAGUAUCCAUGUUAGAUAUUGGUGUGGUGUUUUAGAGUAAAAAUAAAACUAAUUCUGUGUUAAUGCUAUUCAUUUUGGUGUGUAAUAAGUUUUACAUGUGCAGAUGAAAAAAAAUCCUCUUAUUAUAUAUGUAUAUAUAUAUAUUGUCAGAGUUUCUCCAAAAUGGCCAUAUUUUAUGUAUGUUUUAUUUUACUAAUAGGUAAUUUAUUUCUGAUGUGUGCCCAUAAAGAAAGACUCUUUCCAUCAAACACAUAAAUUUGUUUUCCUUCUUUUUCAUAUUUAUCAAUUCUGAAUAACAACUUGUUUUUCACUGUUAAAAUUUUUGGAGUUAAGUGUUUUAUUUUUAAUUGGUGAUUGUAAAUAGCUGUGUAUUGUAUUAUACUACUUUUAAAUACAUUUUACAAAAAAGCAGCUUGUGUGCCAAAAAACUGGGAGAAGGCACAACACGAGAGUCUUGCAAUUUUGCGCUAUAUUAGAUUAUACACUUUAAUCUUAGAAAUAGUAUUGUAGUUUGAUGCUUUUUUUUAAUUGUAUUUUAAAUGUGUGUUUGGUGCAUUGUCUCUUCACCUAUUUUAAUGGUUGGAGUAUCGUCACCAAAACUAUUUUGAAAAUCUGUGCUCUACAUUUGGUGUACUCCUCAUUUGGCCCUUUUUUAUCCAUCUUGAUGAAGAGAAACAUUAAAAACAUGAAUAAAGAUACAGCAUUUCUUGCAACAAAAAUGUUGUAUGAACUUAUUUCAUAUUACUAGAAGUUUCUGAUGCAAUGAAUGUUUCCUGAGUGCUUAAUAUAAAGAAAAAUAUGGCAAUAUUUAUGAAGAUGGGAUGACAUGAACUAUUAAUUAUUGAAUGUAAUCUAAAGUAUGUUUGAAAUUGUGAAGAGUUUCAUACAUAAUGCAGUGACAGUAAUUUUGUGUAAUACUUUGUACUACCUGAAAAGUUACAUAAAAAUAAACGGAAAAAUUUUGAAUAUUAAAUUGGUUUCACUACAUUUUUCUAUCUAAAGAAGUUUGGGGAAGCUAUAUAUUUUCUUAAAAUUUGGUGGUGGUACUCUACUGGACCCAUUUUCAGUGCUCCCACAUACAAUUUAUUAGAAUGAAUGAUUACUAUUUUUAACUUUUGUGUGUGUAUAUGUAAAGAAGUGUUCUUAAGUAUUUCUUUGAUUAAAAAGUGUUAUGUACCACCAGCCAGAGAUGAGUAAUAUAUGAGUCAUAAAAAUUAAAAAAUAAUAAAAGUGAUGUAUUAUUCUCUAAAAUAUUAUUAUUUACAUCAAAAAUACCUCUUUUCCUGCCUUCAGAACAGUGCAUAAUAUAUAUACAUGUUUAUAAAUGUUUACAAAUUUAUAUUUUGCAUUUUACUGAGCUUCUAUAUCUUGAUAUAGUGAUUAUUAAGACAUUUAGUAAAUUGUAUGUUUAUAGCAAAAAUUUGUGAUGUAACAAUAAUACGGAGCACUUGAUGUGCUAUAACCCUUGUAAAAAUAUUAUGUUUAUUUAUUUAAAUGAUGGGUUUUAAUAUUGAAUGUAAUUUAUUCUAAUCCCAAGUGUAUUUCUUCAAUUUUUACUAAAUAGAAGAAAUCUUGUAUGCAACAGUUUAUAAAAACAUUUGUUUGAUUGGUUUUGUUUUUCAAUAAGUAAUAUUUAAAAAUUUAUGUUUGAGGUUAAUAGGUAUUUCUCAUCUCUGGCCAUACCAUGUUAAGAGGGACAGAUUUAACUUUGGGACAGUGCCAGACUUCUUACACAUAUAGUGUAUAAAAUCAUCUUUGAUAUAUGCAAUAAAAUACAGAAUAAAUGUGCAUGGUAAUUUGCAAAACUAAAUAUACUUUUGAGUGUGCAUCAAAAAUUCAUUUGAAUUAUAAUUUCAGGUUUUCUGUUUUAUGUUCUGCUUGUGAUUCCUUGCUUUCUUCCUUUGAGCUAAAGUUCCUAACAUGAAAUUGCUCUGUCUUUUAUGUAUAUGUAAUAAAUACCAUUAUAAGUUUAGCAGAUUCCUUUUUCUUGUAUAUCAUAAGCAUGGAAUUAUAAAGGCUAGUUUAUAUGCUCUUAAAUUUUGAACUUCACAACGAACAUAAUUCCUAGCAAUGAUUUUUUUUUUAAUUCAUUAAGUCCCUAGAAUAAAAGUCUGUACAAUUUUAAAUACAUUUGUUUAUUUCUCGAGAGUUAUCAUUUUACUUUUGAAGUCAAAUGAGAAUUCUUAUUCAUUAAUUGUUGUGUUUCAGAAUUUUAUCUUUUUCUGUGAUAGUUAAUUUUAAAUAAAUCUCUCUGUAAUAAAGAGCACUUUUUUAUGUAUGUUUCUUCCAGUGGUUCUUUAAAUUUUCUGUGGAGUUUUGCAAUGAAGUUCACAUAUUCUGUAGCUACAUCAGAUAUUUAUUCUUUCUGAGGUGAAAUUUUGAUCAUUUUGCAAGCUGGUAAAAAAUCAAUUGAAUAAAAUAGCUAGGAAGAGCAAUAAUUUAAUUGUACAAACCUGAAGUAGUUUUGUGUAAGAGUAGUAGAUAUAUGUGAAAAUUUAAUUUUUGAACAUUCUUUCCCAUGAAGAAUUUGAUAAAAAAAUAUACUAUUUUCGAUGAGGAAUAGUGGAUAAAAAUAAUUUAUCUAUUAAAUAAUGCACUUUUCAGUUCAGAGAUUGCACUGAAUAACUUGAGCAUGUAAACUACACUUUUAUAAAAAUAAGUAGACCUUUAAUGACUAAUUUCAUGAAUUUCUUUUUAAUGUGUUUCAAAAAUAAAAUUCUUAAACAUUCAAUAAAAUAUCAUUGCUUAAUUAACUUAAAUUUUCAUUUUAGUUUAAUUCAGAAAGCUUUUUUUACUAUUAAAAUAUAUAUAAGAUUUUAAGUAAAUUAAAAUGUCUCACUUUAAUUUUAAAAUGACCUCCUGUUUAGAGCAUUUUUCAGCUUCAUAAUUGUGUGUACUUUUGAAUGAUGAUAGAUUUCUGGCACUGUCCCUUAGUUUAACAGUGCCCAGUGUUGGGUUUUGCCAUGUGCCGAAAUGUGCUCUUGUUGGGAGGAAUCAUACAAGAAUCCUCCAUUUUGUUGAAUUUUCUAGUUCAUAAAGAGUGUUUAUAUAGAAUCUGUGCAAUCUUUGAACCUAUCAGUUCUGUUUUGAAGUCUAUGUAUGUAUUGUGUUUUAUAUGCAAUUUACAUUCGCACAUUGAUAAAAUUUCGAUUUAUUUUGUAUAUAUUUUAGGUUUGAUUUUGUAGUUUAAUGAAUCUUAAGUAAAAAUUUGUGAUAAAAAGUCUAGUCAUUUUUUUGUCAUUUUUAAUAAAUAUUUCUUUAAUAUGCAGCCUCUUGCUUUUGCUAAGAUUGGAUUAUUUUGAUUAUAUAUUUCAUGUAAAAAACUGUCAUUUUUUACAAAGUUCUUUUGUUUUGUUUUUUAAAUCAAAUUUGUGUUAUUUAUAUUUGUAUUUUAAAUUUUAGUCUUAGCUUUUCAUCUAUCUAUUACUUUGUUUAGAUGUAAAACUCAGGUUUGUGUCUGAUAUAUUGUUUUUAGUUUUAAAAAAAUGAUUAUGAGUGAAUAUUAUUAGGACAAUCAGGUAGUUAUAAUUAAAAGAUUUUAUUUGUAACAUAUAUCAGACACUUUUUCCUCUAGUACCUGUACACAGUUCGCUUUUGUCUCAGUGCCUAUGUAUGGUUUGCCUUCCCUCCCUUUUUUAUUUCAUUUAAAAUAUCUCAUGCAUGAUGCUUAUUUUAGGUAUAUGUUUAAUAUUUUGCUUUUAAUAAAAUAAUUGUGAUGUACAGAUUUAGACCAGUGCAUACACAUUGCAUAUAUUAGAUAUGUUAUAUAUGACUGCUAUUUUAAAUAAAAAUGUGUUAAGCUGUGUUGGGUAUAUGAAGGAAAAAUGAUGUAGAGGUAAUAGUGUAUUCUUGAAUGUUCCUUUUAGUACAAUGCUUAAGUUUAUUUUUAAUAACAUUAUUUAAAUGUAGCAUUGCAUUGUAGUGCACUCAAAUUCUUUAAAUCUUUUCUGUUUUAGAUGUCUUCUGGAUUUAAAAUAAGCAUUGUUCUCUCUAUUUGAAAUGUUUUCUUUUCCCUUUCAUGUGUAAUUUUAUACAGUUACUGUUACAUUUUUACUUUUCUUAUUUAGUUGUUGACUGAUUGUAUAUCAUUAUUUAUGGAGCAUUUUGAAAAGAUUUCAGCUCAGUGAAUAAAACUUUAUUAUAGUAUUUUGAAA
rnacentral:lncRNA from 1 species